ACUGGCGGAAUUGAAAGUCGUGACGUCAGGACGUCAAACGUUUGUUUUUCGAGGAUCAGUUGUGAAAGAGGUUUGUUGAUGCAGGAGGAGUGACCGAUGUGUGAAGCGUAUAUCGAUUCGAGUUCUCUUACAAAAGGAUAUGUAAAGUAACACCAAGAAUAUCCAAUUAUGUCUACUUUAUCGAUUCCUUCCGGUUCAGAGUUCAAAGAUUUAAGUUCGCGUAGAUAUUGUAAACGUGGCACUUGUCCGUUUAUUAUUUUUUACUGUCGUUAAGUGUAUGUAUCCAUACAUAAAUUUCAAAAUUUGUCAUCGAUGAAGAGUCAUCCUAACGGGUAAGAUGUUAAUCUGGUUCCUUGUUUUUUUUUCUUCUUCUAUAUAUUACGAUCGAGACCUUGAAUCUUUAAAGAAGCCAGUCGUGAUGUUUAACAGUUAUGUCUUUCGACGAUUGAUGUGGCUGAAAAUAAAAAAAGACAACAUUCAACUCCUUCGCUACGAAAUUAUUUUCGCUUCUCGAUAUUUUGACCUGGUUUUAGUUGUAAAAACUUUAUUUUUGACAAACGUAGCGGUAGGAAAAGGGGAACAAGUUCCUUUCUAGGUUGUUUUUGAAGGAUGAAUGUUACAAAAUAGUUCUGGUUUAAUGAAUAAUAGCUUAACUUGGCAGAAAAAAAAAAUAUAUAUAUAUAUAUAUAUACAGUAUAUAUUUUGGUUACAG
rnacentral:lncRNA from 1 species